ACUGGUCGAGUCGGCCUGCGCGGAAGAUGUAACGGGGCUAAACCAUGCACCGAAGCUGCGGCAGCGAACGUAUCACUUAAAGCGAUUCAGCGGGUUACGAUUGACGGAGCGAAGCGACGUCAAAGCGUAUACAAAGUCGAGUCGGUUUAAGGAUACGUUCGUUGGGUAGGGGAGCGUUCUGUAAGCCUGUGAAGGUGGCCUGUGAGGGUUGCUGGAGGUAUCAGAAGUGCGAAUGCUGACAUAAGUAACGAUAAAGCGGGUGAAAAGCCCGCUCGC
rnacentral:rRNA from 1 species